AUACAUCGGAACGUGCCCGAUCGUGGGGGAUAACGGAGCGAAAGCUUUGCUAAUACCGCAUACGAUCUACGGAUGAAAGCAGGGGACCCUCGGGCCUUGCGCGAACGGAGCGGCCGAUGGCAGAUUAGGUAGUUGGUGGGAUAAAAGCUUACCAAGCCGACGAUCUGUAGCUGGUCUGAGAGGACGACCAGCCACACUGGGACUGAGACACGGCCCAGACUCCUACGGGAGGCAGCAGUGGGGAAUUUUGGACAAUGGGCGAAAGCCUGAUCCAGCAAUGCCGCGUGCAGGAUGAAGGCCUUCGGGUUGUAAACUGGUUUUGUACGGAACGAAAAGUCUCGGGCUAAUACCCUGGGACCAUGACGGUACCGUAAGAAUAAGCACCGGCUAACUACGUGCCAGCAGCCGCGGUAAUACGUAGGGUGCGAGCGUUAAUCGGAAUUACUGGGCGUAAAGCGUGCGCAGGCGGUUAUGUAAGACAGAUGUGAAAUCCCCGGGCUC
rnacentral:rRNA from 1 species